GGCUCAGUGGUCUAGUCGUAUGAUUGCUGCUUCGGGUGGGUCUAACAUCCAAUUCCUCCAAAAGGAAGUUGUAGCAGGUCCCGGGUUCAAAUCCCGGCUGAGCCC
rnacentral:tRNA from 1 species